GACAGAGGGGGCAAGCGUUGCUCGGAAUCACUGGGCGUAAAGGGCGCGUAGGCGGGAUGGCAAGUCGGUCGUGAAAUCCUUCGGCUCAACCGAAGAACGUCGGCCGAUACUGCCGUUCUUGAGGGAUGCAGAGGAGAUUGGAAUUCCCGGUGUAGCGGUGAAAUGUGUAGAGAUCGGGAGGAACACCGGUGGCGAAGGCGGCGAUCUGGGUAGAUACUGACGCUGAGGUGCGAAAGCGUGGGGAGCAAACAGG
rnacentral:rRNA from 1 species